rnacentral:rRNA from 1 species
AUUGAACGCUGGCGGCAGGCCUAACACAUGCAAGUCGAACGAGAGGCGGACGGGUGAUCAAUGUCUCGGACACUGCCUGAUGGAGGGGGAUAACUAACGGGAUCGGUCGCCACAACCGCAUACCAUCGGCUGUGUCCAGAUGGGAUUAGCUAGUAGGUGGGGUAACGGCUCACAAAGGCGACGAUCCCUAGCGGGUCUGAGAGGAUGACCAGCCAAACUGGAACUGAGAAACGGUCCAGACUCCUCGGGGAGGAGGCAGUGGGGAGUAUUGCACAUGGGGGGAAUGCGUGAUGAAGCCAUGCCGGGUGUAUGAAGAAGGCCUUCGGGUUGUAAAGUACUUUCAGCGGGCGGGCGUUACCCGCAGAAGAAGCACCGGCUAACUCGGUGCCAGCCGCGGCGUAAUAC